UGUAUUCGCUGCAAGAAGAUUGGGUGACCAUGAUGUAACUCUUUUUGAUGAAGCUUCGUCAAACUUGCUCAACAGUGUGGUGACACAACUCUAGAAGAGAUUGACACUGUGCAAGUGCAGCCAUUUCAUUAUAAAAAGCAAGAUUAGCUGCCACUCCGUUACAUUCUGUCUUAUCUCUGUUUUAGUAGCCCAUCUUUCUGUCUGAUUACUUCGGUCAUCGUCUGAUACAUAGGACUAGGGAUUAUCUAGAAACCUAUUCCAAUGCCGCUCGGCCGUCGUCCCCACACCGACAUCCGAGGUUCCCCUGCCUUCAUUUCCCACCACCAUGCCGUUGUUUCCUUUAUUGUUCCCGUGCUGAUCAACUUCAUCGAGGUGAAAUAUCAAGGGAAUCGUAAGUCCCCAUUUGACACCCACUCUUCAACCACCUCUGUUGCCAUCUUCUGUCUCCUGUUCUAUUGCUCAUUGGCACUCGUUGCUCAUCUAUCGCUGACCCCUGCUUCUUGUGCCCGAGCGUUUCACAUCCUCAUGAUGCUCGCCGCUUUGCUUUCGGUGGCUUCGCUUGGAUCGUUGUUGUUCGAAAGCCCCUCUCUCUUUCCUCUAUUUGUUGUUGUUCAUAACACUUCUCGUGGUCCUCUUGCAUGGUCUUGCUAAAAAAAUUUAUGAGUGGAUUCAACACAAGAUCGUGCUUAUGUCUGUCCGGGUGUCCCGAUCUCGCCGACUGCAUGGCGGAAGAGCACGGCCAAUUUUGCCUCGUACAGUCAUGGAAGCACGCUUUGCACCAGAAUUCGCAAUUGGUCCAUGUUGACAGCCACAAAACUACAAAUGGAAACGCGAGCAGGGAAUAAACAAUAAAAGGCGCAUUUGGAUCUUAAUUCUUAUGGCUUUGCUUUUGUUGGUAAUUAGUGAGAGUCGCAUUGUAUCCUGUAUUAUGAUUGAUCAAUAGAAUGGACUUAGGUAGCAAAAAGUCAAAGUGAGACCAUGAACGACUGCUUUGGAGGGAGUUGACAUUGAAUUCUCUCCAUUCCAAGAGGCCUCGU